UGCAAGUCGAACGCAAUCUUUUAACAAUGAGUGCUUGCACUCAGCGUUUUAAGUGCGAGUGGCGAACGGGUGAGUAACACGUGGGCAAUCUGCCCAAAAGUGGGGGAUAACACUUGGAAACAGGUGCUAAUACCGCAUCAACCGGCUGACCGCAUGGUCGGCCGGGCAAAGACGGCGUCAGCUGUCGCUUUUGGAUGAGCCCGCGGCGUAUUAACUAGUUGGUAAGGUAACGGCUUACCAAGGUGAUGAUACGUAGCCGAACUGAGAGGUUGAUCGGCCACAUUGGGGCUGAGACACGGCCCAAACUCCUACGGGAGGCAGCAGUAGGGAAUCUUCCACAAUGGACGCAAGUCUGAUGGAGCAACGCCGCGUGUAUGAAGAAGGUCUUCGGAUCGUAAAAUACUGUUGUCAGAGAAGAACACGUGAUAGAGUAACUGCUAUGGCGCUGACGGUAUCUGACCAGCAAGUCACGGCUAACUAC
rnacentral:rRNA from 1 species